rnacentral:rRNA from 1 species
UGGGCCGCCGGGAAUACUGCAAAGCUAGGGAGUGGGAGAGGUAGACGGUACUCCGUAGGAAGGGGUAAAAUCCUUUGAUCUAUGGAUGACCACCUGUGGCGAAGGCGGUCUACCAGAACACGUCUGACGGUGAGGGAUGAAAGCUGGGGGAGCAAACCGGAUUAGAUACCCGGGUAGUCCCAGCUGUAAACUAUGCAAACUCAGUGAUGCAUUGGCUUGUGGCCAGUGCAGUGCCGCAGGGAAGCCGUUAAGUUUGCCGCCUGGGAAGUACGUACGCAAGUAUGAAACUUAAAGGAAUUGGCGGGGGAGCACCACAAGGGGUGAAGCCUGCGGUUUAAUUGGAGUCAACGCCAGAAAUCUUACCCGGAGAGACAGCAGGAUGAAGGUCAAGCUGAAGACUUUACCAGACAAGCUGAGAAGUGGUGCAUGGCCGUCGCCAGCUCGUGCCGUGAGGUGUCCUGUUAAGUCAGGUAACGAGCGAGAUCCUUGCCUCUAGUUGCCACCAUUACUCUCAGGAGUAGUGGGGCGAAUUAGCGGGACUGCCGUAGUUAAUACGGAGGAAGGAGAGGGCCACGGCAG